UUGGGCCUACGGGGGGCAGCAGUGGGGAAUAUUGCACAAUGGGGGAAACCCUGAUGCAGCGACGCCGCGUGAGUGAAGAAGUAUUUCGGUAUGUAAAGCUCUAUCAGCAGGGAAGAUAAUGACGGUACCUGACUAAGAAGCCCCGGCUAACUACGUGCCAGCAGCCGCGGUAAUACGUAGGGGGCAAGCGUUAUCCGGAUUUACUGGGGGUAAAGGGAGCGUAGGUGGCAGGGCAAGUCAGAUGUGAAAACCCGGGGCUCAACCCCGGGAGGGCAUUU
rnacentral:rRNA from 1 species